rnacentral:rRNA from 1 species
AACGAACGCUAUCGGUAUGCUUAACACAUGCAAGUCGGACGGACUAAUUAGGGCUUGCUCCAAUUAGUUAGUGGCAGACGGGUGAGUAACACGUGGGAAUCUGCCCAUCAGUACGGAAUAACUUUUAGAAAUAAAAGCUAAUACCGUAUAUUCUCUACAGAGGAAAGAUUUAUCGCUGAUGGAUGAGCCCGCGUCAGAUUAGGUAGUUGGUGAGGUAACGGCUCACCAAGCCGACGAUCUGUAGCUGGUCUGAGAGGAUGAUCAGCCACACUGGGACUGAGACACGGCCCAGACUCCUACGGGAGGCAGCAGUGGGGAAUAUUGGACAAUGGGCGAAAGCCUGAUCCAGCAAUACCGAGUGAGUGAUAAAGGCCCUAGGGUUGUAAAGCUCAUUUAGCAAGGAAGAUAAUGACGUUACUUGCAGAAAAAGCCCCGGCUAACUCCGUG